rnacentral:tRNA from 1 species
GAGAGGGUAGCUCAGAUGGCAGAGCAGUAAAUAGCUCUUUAUGACUGUAACUUAAAAAAGUGUACGCCAGUUACCUUUUAAUGUCGUAGUAGAGAGUUACUUCGUCUGUUAAACGACCGGUCGCAGGUUCGAGUCCUGCCCCUCUCA